rnacentral:misc_RNA from 1 species
GUAGGUGAACCUGCGGAAGGAUCAUUAACAAAUCAGUUAUAUGGCUUCGGCCAUAUAUAUUCACCCCAAGCUGGGAUUGUACACUAGUUGUACAGGACCGGCUUUGGUUGGGCUACAUCCCUUGUGGGUGUGGCUCCGGCACGUACGCUUCGGUGUACUGGCCACAUAGACGCUUGUAUUGUUUGACAGAGUAUAGUUGCAUCUAAAAAAUACAACUUUUAACAAUGGAUCUCUUGGCUCUUGCAUCGAU